UACGAAGGGGGCAAGCGUUGCUCGGAAUCACUGGGCGUAAAGGGCGCGUAGGCGGGCGCUAAGUCAGGGGUGAAAUCCCGAGGCUCAACCUCGGAAUUGCCUUUGAUACUGGAUGUCUCGAGACCGGAAGAGGUGAGUGGAACUGCGAGUGUAGAGGUGAAAUUCGUAGAUAUUCGUAAGAACACCAGUGGCGAAGGCGACUUUCUGGCUCGAUACUGACGCUAAGGCGCGAAAGCGUGGGGAGCAAACAGG
rnacentral:rRNA from 1 species